GUCUCAAAAAAUCUAAUUCCUCUCUUCAAACUGAUUUCGCCCAUCUUUACUUCGUCGUUCCUCUUCCUAUUUCUCUACUUUCAAUCUCUAAUUUGUCUACUUCCUCAGUCAUACCUUCCUCAAAGAACAGAACUCUCAGUUAAAGAAGUCUCAGUCAGCCCUCUUGGUUUCGUCUCCUCCCACUCAGACCCUCACGAUUACAACUAAUUGAAGAAACUGGGUUCGAAUCUGAUUGGGUUCGAAUCUGAUAAGUCAACUGUUUGCAGGUAUUGAAGUACUUAGUUGCUAGUGGUAUGCUGCAGAUCUUGGGAAGGAAUUCUUGACCAGUUGGUCCUUUUGGUACUAAGGAAGCGCCUUAGAGUGCGCCUCAUAUAGUCAAGUCCUACUAUGACAAAAGAAUAGUUUGACGCACUGGUCUUGAAGGAGGGGUUCUAGUUCUAAAAUAGAAAGCUGCAAAACAUUAUGAAUGACGAGACAAAAAUGUUGUUCACUCAAUAAGGAAAAUAUGUGGACUUUGUACACUGUACUUGCAGUUUAGUGAUGGAAGGAGAGAGAGAGAGAGGAGAGCAUUAACUUAUAUUAUGAAGGCACACUAAACUCAUCUCAAGUUGAAGAACUCGCCCUGAAGUUGCAACCUCUUGUCUGAAGAUUGACUCAUCUCAAAUUGGGUUUCAAAACCACUUACCUCAUAGGCAAUCCAAUCAAGCUGGCUGGACCUGCCCCUUCUAAACAUGACCUUAUAGCCAAAAUCACUGAAGAGGUAACAAAGAAAUUGAAAGAGUCUUUCGAUAAGAAAUUGGAGGAUGCUAUUAAAAUGCUUCAAGCUCAGAUUGCCAAUAAUAUAGAUUGCACAAUUGCACAUGGGGAAGAAACACAAUUGCACAUGGACUGGUACCAGUUGAUGCAACAAGUGGCCAUGAGGCUAGGAGAGAGUCCAUAGGAGAGGGAGAUGUUGAGGCCACUGCCCAUUUUGAUUCAAAUUAUGAUGAUGUCGCUGGUCACCAUGAAGCUCCUGCAUGAUUUAGGUUUAUGUCAUAUUGUUGUGUUUUAGAAUGUGAUAAAACAUGAUUAUGUUGGAAUAUUGUUGUCCCUUUAUGAAGCUCUUUUUAUUGUUGUAGCACUUUGUUGGUUAGGUUUAGGUUCCAUCAUGUGGAAUAAUGUUUAUGUUAGAUAAUUUGGUUAUGAAAUGAAUGUAGGUCAUUGUGUUGAUUUUGUUGGAAUAAAUGCUAGUUGAUGGUGGUGUUAGUA